rnacentral:rRNA from 1 species
UACGUAGGGUGCAAGCGUUGUCCGGAAUUAUUGGGCGUAAAGAGCUCGUAGGCGGUCUGUCGCGUCUGCUGUGAAAACUCAGGGCUUAACCCUGAGCUUGCAGUGGGUACGGGCAGACUAGAGUGCGGUAGGGGAGACUGGAAUUCCGUGGUGUAGCGGUGAAAUGCGCAGAUAUCAGGAGGAACACCGGUGGCGAAGGCGGUUCUCUGGGCAUUAC